rnacentral:rRNA from 1 species
AGUGAACGCUGGCGGUAGGCCUAACACAUGCAAGUCGAACGGCAGCACAGUAAGAGCUUGCUCUUACGGGUGGCGAGUGGUGGACGGGUGAGGAAUACAUCGGAAUCUACUUUUUCGUGGGGGAUAACGUAGGGAAACUUACGCUAAUACCGCAUACGACCUACGGGUGAAAGCAGGGGAUCUUCGGACCUUGCGCGAUUGAAUGAGCCGAUGUCGGACUAGCUAGUUGGCGGGGUAAAGGCCCACCAAGGCGACGAUCCGUAGCUGGUCUGAGAGGAUGAUCAGCCACACUGGAACUGAGACACGGUCCAGACUCCUACGGGAGGCAGCAGUGGGGAAUAUUGGACAAUGGGCGCAAGCCUGAUCCAGCCAUACCGCGUGGGUGAAGAAGGCCUUCGGGUUGUAAAGCCCUUUUGUUGGGAAAGAAAAGCAGCAGGUUAAUACCCCGCUGUUCUGACGGUACCCAAAGAAUAAGCACCGGCUAACUUCGUG